CAUCUUCUGUGCCUUCACUCUCUUCAGAUUCUCCCUCUCUCUUUCUCCCCUUCCUCUUCGCCAGACCGCUAUCCUCCUCCACUCUCAUCGCCGUGCGCCAGACCGCUACCACGUCUCCUCUCACUGCUUCCACCUCUCACUCACAAGGUCGUCGUGAGGAGCUUAAAGCGUCGCUGUUUUUGUUUUUGUCCUCGCAUCUUCGUCUUUGUCUUUGUCUUCCAGAGAGGCAGAAUCGUCGCAAGGAGCUUGAAGCAUCGCCGCCUUCAUCUUCAGGAGAGGCAGAACAUCACAAGGAGAUUGAAACGUUGCCAUCUUCGACUUCGGUAAGAAAUCGAGCUCUACAAAGCCAGUGCUCAAUUAGAUCGAAUUAGUUUCGUGGACUUGCCGGGUUUUGUCUCAAUUUUUCGUUGGUAAGAUUGAAUAUAUAUAUUGGUGGCAAAUUCAUGGAGUUGGAAGCUUAAGUUUUGGACUUGGUAGUUGAAUUUUUUGUUUGGAGAAGUUUAGAGCCUUGGGUUUUAUGGAACAAUGGUCAAUUGUGACGUUCUGAGUUUUACAAGGAAUUAGCCAAGAUGCAGGUUGAAAAGUACCACACUGUGUAUUCUGGAGACUCUGAAGAAGCGAAGAACUCUUGGGAUUCAGGGUUGUAUUUUAUUUAUAUUUAUAAAUGUAUAUGGAUUCUCCACCUUGUAUUUUAUGUUUGUCCCUCUUAGAGGUCGACUCGGAGAAACAGGUUGUCAGUUUUUUGUUUUGAAUUAUUUUGGGGUGUAUAUAUAUGUAUAUGUAUACUCUGGUCGGUCUUUGCUUCGCAAGCCGAGCCUAGAGCUUGUUAAUUGCAUUUUUUGAA